GUGAUUUGAAUGUGUAUUGACUUUGUAAGAGCUUUGCAAAGUUGAGGUUUGUUUUGGAUGACUCUAGAUUUGUGAAAUAAAAUGGGUGAUAAUUUUUGGAGAAUUACAUAAGUUUGACAAUAGAUGUACAAGUGAAAUUUUAAAAGUUUGUGGGUUUAUAUAUGCUCAAUAUAUGCUGUGAGUUUGAACUUGAUUAAAGAGUUGGGUCGAAGAUUAUUGAGGUUUAAGUGGAUUGGAUUCUUAGAAAGUAGAGUUUUAGGUCUAGUGAGGGUUUAUAAGAUUUUUUACAAUCUAUCAAUUGAAUUGGAGUAAAAAUUAUGUAUAUGAAUAGAAGACUUGUUUUCUUAAGUAUUUGAGAAAUUUGAGAUCAAUUGAAUGGUUCAAUAAGGAGAUAUUGGCAUUGGAAAUUCAACAUUUAAAUUAGAGAAGGAGGCCGGCCUGCAUCUGUGCAAAUAUUAGGAUUGAUCUUUUUUUUGGUGAGUUUGUUCUUCUUCAAAAUAUUUGUACUUGUUGCCAACUUAAUUAUCAAGAAGUAUGGAAAUUUUGCGUCAAAAUCAAUAGUUCAUUCAUUAGUUAUUGAGGUUUAAAUCUGCUAUAAGAAUUACUUGGAAUUAUUGAAGAUUUGGUCAGGAUAUGUUUAGGAUUUGAUUAGGGUUCGGUUAAGGUUUGUUUAGGUUUGUAUAGGGUUUGGUUAGGAUUUGGUUAGGAUUUGACUGGGAUUUGGUUAGAUUUUGGUUAGGAUUUGUUUAGGAUUUGAUUAGGAUUUAAUUAAGAUUAUUUAGGAUUUAUUUAGGAUUUCACUAGGAUUUAUUUAGGCUUUGGUUAGGAUUUUUUUAGGAUUUAUUUAGGAUUUGAUUAGGAUUUGAUUAAGAUUUGAUUAGGAUUUGAUUAGGAUUUAUUUAGGAUUUGAAUAAGGUUUUUUUAGGAUUUGAUUAAGGUUUUAUUAGGAUUUAUUAGGAUUUGAAUAGGAAUUUAUUUAGGAUUUGAUUAGGAUUUAAUUGAGAUUUCUAUUUUAAUAUUUUAUUAAUAUUUCUAUUUUAGUAUAUUUUUGAAUUUCUAUGUUAUUUCUUUAUGAUUUCUUUAAAGGUUCUUUAGGAAUACUUUAUGUUUCUUACAUAAUUCUUUUGCAAUUUUGAUUGAAUUUAAUUGAUGUUUGAUUAUACUUGCUAAUCUUUAAUUAUAAUUUAUUUAAAAAUAUAUUAAAGUUAUUAGGACUUAUUCUUGCGAUUUUCUUUUUAUCUUCCAUAGUUAGGUGCCCAAUGCAUUUUCAAGCCAAACAUUAAUUAUUAUGAUAAUAGUAUCAAAAUAAAUUAGAAUACCUUACUCAUUGGUAUGGAUAUGAUAUUUAUAAAUACACAUAGGAGCCAAUAAAGAAUCUUUCAAAUAUAGCAAAGAAAUAUGAGGCUUUUUAUCAAUAUUAUCUAUCAAAAUCAAGAUAAAAAAUAACAUAUCUUUGCUAUAAAAGAAACAAGAUCCAAGGAAGAUAACAUUCUACUUUCUACUCUCAUUUGUAGCUUUUGUAUAUUUGUGAUGCUAAAGAGCUAAAAAAUCAAUAACCAACAAAUUUAAUUCAAGAGCUAUUGCUUGCUAACUUAUUAAAUGAGAUAUUAUGAUUUUCUUAACCUUUAAGACAAUGUAAUUGAGAUGAAGAUCCUCAAGAUCAGCAUGUCCUUCCUUGAAUAAAUGGCAAGUUAUAAUGUAUUUGGUAUCACAACUUUCGAAGAGACUCUCAAUUUUUGGUGAUUUUAUUAAAAGUAUGAACAAUUCUUGAUAGUAUUAUAAAUAUUUUAUUUGAAAGGAGUUAUUAAGGUGUCAGCAAUGAUCAAAUAAUAAAGUGGUCUUCUUGUCCUAGUAUUAGAUACUAUCAAUGGUUGAAAAGACCUAUGAAUCAUCUUCAAAGAGAACAAAAAUCAAAGUAUGUAGCAAACAUAAUUUGCCGCAUCUUAGAUUUUUUUUAAUAUAUGAUGACCGUUCUUCAUAGAAUUCAUCUCUAGAAGGAGAGAUAAUAUCAUAAACAUACAUAUUUAUUCUAAUAAUUACCUAUAUAAAUAAGUAGAACUAGGUAGAAGUAGAUUUAUUUCAUAAUAUCUUUUAAAAAAGCUUCCUAAAAGCUUCAUAGGUAUACUUUGAUUUUACAUGUAUUUGUAAUUAAUUCACAAGUUAAAAACUUGAUCAAUAAGAUAGUCGCAUGUUAUACGUAUUAGUAGCUUAUGGAAUAAGCUAACUAUGUGGCACACAUAUAAAAAACUUGCUUUGUAAGUUAAGACAUGUGUUUAGUAAAGUCAAUACAUAUUAGAGGUCUUAUAGAACAUUGCCAUAUAGCUCUUAAUUAAAUAGUAUAUAUAGUAGUAAGAGUGAAGCCUUCUUCACUCUUGUCAACAUCUUUCUAGUCUUUAGUCUUAUUUCAAGACUUUCUAAUCUACUUUUCUUUGGCAAUAGCCAUUCUAGUUCAAUAUAUUACUAUCUUUGAGUGAUUGUUUAGUCUUUUUGAGUGAUAUAAGAAUGUAUUAUCUUUUUGCUUCUUUGAAAUUCAUGUUCUUUAUAUCAACAUGCAUACUCGCAAUAUAAAAGUUUUUUUUUUAAGUAGUCUUCUUUUUUUCCAAUUUAGACCACUUCUCUUAAAGCAACUCCUAUCUGAAAGAGAGCCAAAUAAAAAUAGUAUUUUAACUUUGGAAAUCAUAUCCAAAAUGAUAUGGAAAUUCCAUGAGACAUGUGAGAGAUAAAUUAUAGUUUUUAGGAAUGUAUAUAUAUUAAAUAUGUGCCAAAAAUGAAUAGACUCUGUUGUAGGGCCUCUUAUGCUCCUUCUUCUUAGAUGAAAGUUAAUACAAAAUAACCUCUUUUAAGUAUUUGGAUUUUAGAAAUAGUCAUGUUGAAUUCCAUUAGAUUUACAUUCAUACAUUCUUAUAACUCAAUGCAAGGAGGAUGCUUGUUUGGAGCAAAUUUAAUCAAUGUCAAAUGAGGAAGGAAAGUAGCAUCUUGUUCUAUCAGUGCUAAGGUAUUAACAAAUAGGUUUUAACAUAGCUUAGGAUCAAUCAAAAAAAAUAAGGCGUGUACAAUCUUAGAUGCGAUAGUCUAAGAUAAUGACUAUGAUGGUAUUAAAGUAUCUUCCAUUAGGAGCAUCUCAUCCUAAACAACAAUCUAAUCUAAUCUAGUAAGACAUGAUAUAAUAGAGUAAACUAAUGAACAAAAAAUAAUUAGGUUUGAAUAGAAAUUUUAUGCAAAGCAAUUUGUUUUCAGUGUGAUUCAUAUUUUUGGGCUUUUAUAUGCAUCCUUUGCAUGCUUCAUGAUUCUUUGCAUGAUUAUGUUAAGAUAUUCCCCCAAGCAUCCAUCAUCUUAUUUGUACUUCUUUCACUUUAACCAAGAAAUGAAUAGUAUCAAAGCACAAAUCCAACUUUUCAUGUUAUGAAUGGUUUCAUCAAAAUUAUAUUUUUUGGUUGUAAACCUUUGAAAACUAUUAUUGGAUACUACAUGAGCACUUUGGUGGGACUUGAAAGAAAAUCAUUUUUAUUAAUUAAACAUGCACAAAGAUCACACUAAUAACAUGAUGGAUUGAUUUAGCAAAAAGGUGGGUUGAUUUAACAAUUCCAUGUGUGUGUGUGUGUAUAUAUAUAUAUAUAUAUAUAUGUGUGUGUGUGUGUAUGUGUGUGUAUUAACUAGAAGAAACCCAUUUUGCAAGCUAAAUGAUUGAUACAAAAAAAUAUUGAUCAUUAAUGGGAGUUUAAAAUAAAAAAAACAUUAAACUUUGCAAGAUAUAAUUAAUACUGUAUUCUUACAUUUUUAAUGCAUUUAAAUAGAAAAAUUGUAUAAUCAGCUUAUGAAAAAAUUGGCUAUUUAAUGGAGGAAUUUUACAAAAACAUGUGAAUAUAAUGUCUCAAUUGUAAUGAUAAUAACAUUUCAAUAACAUUAUAACUACUGUUUGAUAAAAAAUAAAUAAAAGAUUCUACUGUGAAACAUGUUGCAAAUUUCACAUCUUUCUACACAAAUGAAAUCACCUAUAUAGAAGUGUUGAUGUGUUCAUAUUACACAGAUUCACACAUAUAAAUGUAAAGAAUUUAAUGUAAAUUUUGUGGGGACAAAGUGGUUAGCUGAUUUUAUACCUCAGCCAAUCACUGGACAGACACUUUUCUUUUUUUCUUUUUUUUCUUUUUUUUGAAUAUAAGUAGAUAUAUACUACUUUUAAUAUCUGAAUCCAGUUUUCCUCAGAUUUUUGUCUCUCAAAGAGACAGUUCAUUCAAUCAAGAAUGCAUUUCAAAUUCAGUUUGGUUUGAUUUAAUUAAUUAAUUUAGUUAUUUAUUUAUUUAUUCUUUUUCUUCUUCUUUUCUUUUCCAUUUUGCUGGCUAUGAUUGGCAAUGUACUAGUGAGUGGAAGAAGUGCUAGCUAUCCCACAUUGGACCUACAAAGGGAAGGGAAAAAGAAGCAUGUGAAAGAGUGUAGGAAAGGCUUCCUUAUUUGAGUCAUCUCCUCUCUUCUCUUUUCUUUUAAUACUGCUUGCUACUUCUUUUUCUUAACAUCUUAGGGGGAUUUCUUUCUUUAUUUAUUUAUUUAUUUAAAUUGUAUGUAGUAAUGCCCUCCUUUCACCUUCACCAACUGGCACUGCAAAGUCUCUUUCUACUCACAGGUCAAGGAAAAAGACCAACGCUUUGGGGGCUAGCCUUUAAUGGGCCUUAUUAAAUAUGUGACUUCCAUAACUCUAGAUGUGAGGUGUGUGAUAGAGAACCCUAUUUUGUUGUACCAUCCAUCCCAUUACUGAUUUUCCAUUUCUUUCCCAUUCCUGCCAUUCUUUCCUCCUUUCUGUUCAUUUAUAAUUGUCUCAUUAUAUACUAGUAUUUAUUUAUUUAUUUAUAUAAGUGUGGGUGGUGGGGGUGCCACUUGAGCCCUCCUUUUCUUGCCAUCUUUUUCUGUGGGGCAUAGCAAGUGGGAUGCUUGGAUGUGAGAGAAUUUGAAUUUCUGUUAGGUGCAUGGGUGGGUGGGUAGACAGUUUGAUACAUGAAUGUCCAGUAGAGAGUGAUAUUGAGCAUGUACAUAAAUACACACAUAAUUCUAUAUAAAAACUUCCACCACUGUUCUUGUGGUUUUUUUAAUAUUAAUAAGUUGAAUUAGAGUAUAUAUAAGUAUUUGUGAUAUGGUCACUGACAUGGGGCACCAAGUAUCAUCAAAGGGAUUGGGGUUAAGGCUUCAUCAGUCUGAUGUAUAUAACAUGUAAAGUGACAGAUGAGGAGAAGAGAAAUAACAGAUAUAUAUAUAUAUAUAUAUAUACAUACAAAGGGAACAAAAAAAGGAAAAAGGAAAAAGUGGUUCCAUGCCACUGUUUGCUCCAUUUCCUACAUUGCACUUGCAUUUGGAUUCAAUGGAUACUCUCUCUGCCUAGACAUAUACAGACAGACAGUGGGGUAUACUCACUCACUCACUCCACACACACACAGUCAGCAGUUGUUCAUCACCUUCCUUUUCAACAACAACAACAACAACAAAAACCCCUUUUAUUUAUCAGUUUUUUGAUUUGAUUUUAUAUUUUACUCAUACUGCAAUCAGAGCUGAGCCUGCUGUGUAAAGCCAUGCUUCCCCCCACAAACCCAUCAUUUAACACAAUCCAACAGCACAUCAAAUGGGUUCAUGUCAACAGCAGCACUCCACUCAAUGACAGUACCUUGCAGACAUCACAUGUAUAUGCCAAUGCAGGUAGGGGCCAAAUGAUACACCCCUUGCUGCUGGGGAACAGUUCUCAGCCUCAUAGUCAACCACUGUUGUGGGGUUUAGGGCUUAUGGCUUCACCAAAAGCACAAGUUCAUGCACUUAGUCACAUUCUGUGCAUCAAAGAUUUUGGUGGAAAAUUCUACCUAAGGGUCACUCACUCACUAACUCCUCCUGCAGAGUCAGCAUAAUAAAGAGGAGGAAGAGGGGAAGUGCCACAGGCGUGCCCAAGCUGUGUUUGGAGAUAGCCGCUUCUUGCUGGUCAUUCCUACCCUUUAUUAUUCCCCUCUCCCUCUUCAAGUACAAUUUUUGUUUUGUCUCACCCAUGUGUGAUUGCACACCCUAUUCCAGCAGCUUAAGAGAGAAUCAAGCAGUUUCACGGGCUGAGAGAGAAAGAGACGCAGCACGUCAAUAUACCAUAAGCCACGAUCCUGUCAUUUUCUUAACCCUAAAAAAAGGUCUGAUAAUAAUCCACCCACUUAGUACCACGAUUGGUUCAAUAAGGGGGCCUGUCUGAACGAUUGGAGAGGUCUCCAGCAGUUCUGAAUAAGCAGUUGGCAGCAGUUUGAAUGCUGGAAAACCAGGCGGGCACCACAAAAGAAAAGAAAAGAAAAGAAAAAAAAAGCCAGAAACCCACAUGCUUCAAUGUUCCUACUGAACGCCUGCCAUAAUACUCCGUGAAGUCACAGCUUUCGUUUCGAUUACGGGACUAUAAUUACAACUUAACUUGCAUGUUCUGCGACAUAUCGAUAAGUCCUGCACGAAGCUGCUCGAAGUGGCUAGUAUUCACAAAGGCUAGGGUACUUGAGGCCGAUUCCAAGCGUCCAAGCUAAGCCCCGAGGGUUUUGCACGAGAGCCACAUGUUCGAAAAAUAUUCUAGAACAGAGAUUCACAAGCAAAGCCUCGGGAGACUUGGCCACAACCCUCUGCGGAUUUCGAGACAGAUACAUUAUCUACUCCUAAAACAAGGAUGCAGUACCGUCCCAAACACAGUUGAAACAAAGUGCUUUCCAAAACUAUUUCCAACACUAACUGGGAGCAUCUAACAAACCCCUUUUCUGCAGAGAUCUGCAAGUAGGACAAUACCACUUGCCCUUAAACCGAGUCUCUGAACUCAAUCCUACGCAUUGGUAGUGAAACCAUUCUCCACCUUCACACUGCAACAUUUCCAAAUAACUCGAGUUACUAUUGCACUGCUUGCAGUAUUAAAAAAAUUCAUCGUCAUCAUCAUCAUCAUCCUUAAACUGAAAAUACUGAAGGAAAUGUUCAACGUUAUACCAUUGAAACAAGGAGAAACUCAAACGGCAGAUUGAGUAAGAAAAAGUACUGCACUUUCGACAAUCAAUCAGGAUUAACAUACACUUACCUUCUCAUUGUCACACGCAAUCAUAUCUCCAAAUGACACCUGUAAGACAUGAUAGCUCAUUAGUGCACCUUUGGAAAUUACUCAACGAUGUAGUCCUCAGCAUGCAGAAGUGCCAAGUAUUUACACCUCUGCUAUUUCAGCUCUAGCUUACAAGGAUGUCAUGGAACGAGCUGGACAAAUGUAAACCUCAGCUUAUCAUUCAAAUACAAUUCAGUCUAAACCAUGGAUGACCAUGUACUGAAGCUUGAAGAAUGUCAAACAGACACAUAUAACUCCACUAAACAAACCGAGGCGAGCACUCGAAAGAAGUCUCCACAAAAAAUAAUCAUUGUAGGCAGUAAUCCCUAUGGUACAGACCUGAUGACAAAUGCAGUAGGUGGGUUCGUUGGGAUCAAUGGGCUGAUCCACAUCCGUUGGAGCAGGAAGGCUCUUCUUGUGACUACCAGGCGGUGGCAUCAACUCACUAUCCCUAUCGCGAUCUCUCUCUCUUUCCCGAGCACUUUCAAGUCCUCUGUCCCUAUCCAGUCGUGAAUCCAGGCGCUUACCAAUGGGCGUGAGAAACUGCACCUUUCUUUUCUCAUCCUUGAACGUCAAAGGUGAAAUAUAGGUCUCAUCAUUCAAAACUUUUCCUUCUGUAUUCAAUGACGGUGAAAACAUUUAGCGAAUGAUGUCCAGAAACAGAUCAUAGCUCGUAGAGCAACACUACCUCCAUUUCGAACAUAAAGUCAGUUUUCAAAAGUGCCAUUACAAAUUCAUGUCUGAAAUGAUGAAGAGAUGGAGGAACAAGGCACAUGCCAACCAGGAAAGAAUAUCCGAUGGCUCAUCGUAUGCAAGAUGCAAGUAUAUACUAAAAAAGGAAAAACUAUCACUACCUUGCUUCAAGUCUUCUGCAAAGCUGCUAAGGUCCUCAUCAAGACGCUUCAUGUGAGUUUCAAUCUACCGUGUCAAAGAGCAUGCCAGUAAGACGAUGGACAGACCACAAGUGCGACAGCAAACAUACACCACCGGAGUAAACACGUCAGAUCUUUCCUUAGAAGCUUCACUAGUCAUAGAGCAUUGCCACAAAUUACCUCACAUUAAUUUUAUAUUGUUACUUAUUGAUGUAUUUAUUUAUUUUGAAGGAACAUGAAGGCAAACCUGGCACUCCGACUAUCGCAAAGGAUAAACUCAUUACGAAUACAAAUUUUGAAUCUCCGUUUUUUCACUGGAUAACAACCUUGGCAGCCAUUACCCUCGUGCACAUUGAGCUCAACAACUAAGCUACCAAUCUGUACAAUCUGUUUCUUACCAUUCAUGUUUGGAAUCAAUAACGUGAUUAGUGUACUCACUAAACGAAAUAGCAGGAAAUAUGUUACGAACAUUGGGAGAUUGAAAUGGAAAGAAACAUUAAGGCUCUGAACGAAUUACCAAUCAAGAGAAUACUUCGAUUGAAAGCAAGCAGUUUAUACAAGCAACAGACCAAUGUAGAACCAAGGCAGCAGUACUCAGAAACCUGCUGGCUGUAGCUAAUACAUACAACUUCCAUAGAAGAUGUUGCAAUUACCAGAUCAUAGGCUUGCUGUGCAAGCAGCACUUUUUCGGUGCAAAGCUUCAGAGUAUUUGUUUGGUUAGAUUCAAUCUGCUGCCUUUGUAUGUCCAAUGAGGAAUCUGCAUCAAGGCCAUCUCUCUUCUUUGCUAAACAUGCUCUGACUUGCUCCCGUGUUUGCAUGAUCAUAUCUGCACAAGUCCAAUAUUGUAAAUUCAAAAGUCUAGAACUUGACGGUCCAAAAACAAAAUGUUUUAAAGAAAAGAAAAGACAUGUGUUUUCAGUCUCAUCUCCGAGCAAAUUAGAUGUCACGAUUCCCAACUCUGUACAAUUGGACAACACGGAUCACCCUGAUAUGCAUGCGAGAUACCAAAGUCGAGCAAAUGGGGUGGUGGAAAUCCGUUAAAGAAUUAGAGCAGAUUUGAAUAAGAAUUUUUUUCAGCAAAACCCUAACAAAUGAACCAUUCGAAGACCAGCAGUAUCUUCAUAAAACUCCACACACGCUCAAUCGAAAAUUUCACAUAAUAGACUGAAUUAUAUGAUGAGUACAAAAUUGUUGCAAUGCACUACAAGUGAAAUACUUAACAGUCCCAUGAUCAAUUCGGAAUAUGUAAAUAGCAACAUUCCCAACACAAAUCCAUGAACUCGCAGGAGAGAGGAGAGAAACAGAAAACGCACUCUGAGACCGAUCAUCCAGCUCCCGCAUCGUGGAUAGGAGCCUCUGCAAUUCCGCAGGAAGUGAACUGCAAACUACCUCCACCCCAAAAGCAAACCAACGUGAUCAAUUCGCUUCGCAAUUCCAUUAACCCUAAGAAUCCUAACAACCCAACAAAACAACGUUCCCUCUCAUACGUAGUCUAAAUCAGUCUCCACACUCAUAUAACCACUUCAAUGAACGGCAUAGCCAUCUACAACAACUGUUGCACACGGAAUUUCGACACCGCGAGAAGAAAUUGCUCACAUUCAAGGUAAUCAUCGACAUAGACGCCGGUUCUCGUCAUGAUUCCCAGUGACGCAGCGAUUGAAACCCCACCACCAGUGCAUGCGUGAUGGAAUUACAGCUCAAGCGAUGAACAUUACGGAGAUUAGGGAGUAGUGUGGCGAUGAGAAUCGAUCACGCAGCAGCUGGAGGAUGGAUCCAUGCAGCACAGCACAGAUCCACGAGCCCCCUCCCUCCCUCCCUCCCUCCUUUCACCGCCGCAGCGUCAUCCGCCUUGCCGCUGGUCGAGACUGGGCCAGUCUCGCCGCUAACGCUGCCGCAAGCGGUGACGCAAUCCUGAAAAAGGUCUUUUGUGCCCAGAAAAACGUGUGAACUGUUGCAAUGUAUUCACCAUCUGUAUGCAGAGAAUUGAGUGGUGAAAACUGUGGUAAUGCGUAGAGCUAUGAAUGCAUGGUUGGUGAAUAUGUCAAAGAGGGUUGGCAUCUUUGCAGUACACACAAGAAAAAGCUUAUAUAAUGAUUUGUAGUAGAUUAGAAGAUAAAGGAUAUGUUUCUGACAUUGGUGCUUAGGAGCAUUUUUUACUUAGGGGAUAAGGUGAAAGGUUCUAACUUUCAAAAGUUUUGAUUGGUUUAAAUCAAUAAGUCUCCUUAAGUUGGCUUUAUACUAAGGAAAAUAAGUUCAAAAGUCUUAAGAGAAAAAAAAAAUGAGGUAGAAUGCGUUUUUUUCCUACAUAGCAUAAAUGGUAUUGUUCUUUGGAAUUUUUGUCAGGUGAAUUUAAUUUUUUUUUAGAAGUAGUGACAACAAAUGCUUAAAAUAACCAAUAUAAAAAUAAAAUAAAAUAAAAUAGAGUCUUUAUACUUGUAAUUUUUUGAAUCAAUAUAUGAAUUGACAUAUUUUAACUUUUAAUAAAAAGAAUGAUUUUAUUUAUUUCAUGGCAUCUUAUCACUUUAUAUACAAUAGCCAAGGCUAAGGCUUCCAAAUAAAGACUUUUAUUCUCUAUAUAUAAGGAACCUUUGCAAAGCUAUGAAUUUAUGGCCUUUUAAAGCAGGCUCUUAGAUAUAAAGUGCCCCUUAAUAUAAGAAAGAAUAGAUAAAUGAGAACCAUCAAUUGAGUAGAUCUUCUCAAAAAUUUUGAUGGAUGAUUAUUUUAAGUAACUAUUUUUUAUGAAUAUUUCGAAUGUAAGUCAAAGAUAAAAAUAAAAUAAUUUUUUUUUACAAAUAAAUGUAUUAAUUUGAUUAAAUUUACUUAUUCAUAAUUUUUAGAAAAAAACAUAAAAAUUCUAAAAAAUUGUGACAUUUUCACAACAAUCUUAUUGAAAGUCUAUAAGGUUUCUUUACUAAGAAGAAUAACAUUUAUUUCAAAUUUCUUCAUUUUGUGAUAAUUUGCAUUAAAUAUUUAAUAAAAAUUUAAUUAUAUAACUAAAAAUGAUAUUAUUUUUAAUUUUUUUUUUAAAUUUGAAGAUUAAAUAAUAUAUUAAAUAAUAUAUAUAUAUAUAUAUAUGUAAAGAUAAAAAAUUUUAAAAAAUAAAAAAACAAUUAAUUUGGAAGUGUAUGAAGAAUAUGAAUUUAAACAAACUUAUAAGAAAAAAAGAAAUUCAAAUCUAAUGAAGAAGAAAUAAAGAAGACCAAAAAAGAAUAUAUCUACAUAAUAAGCAUGUAUUAAAAUAAAUAAUUUUAAGUAUAAAAGACCAUAAAAUCUUAUAUUAAGACUAAAAUAUAAAAAAUUAUCUAAAAGUUUUUAAAGAAUCAAUACACUCAUGUGUCAUAAGAAAAGAAUAGAUAAUUACUCAAAAAAGAUACAAUAUUAAGAUUAAAAUAGCUAUUACCAAAGAUAAAAAGAUUAGAGACUCUUAAAGUAAGAAUAAUAAUAAGAAAGGUAUUGAUAAGAAUAAAAAAGGCUUCACUUUUUUCUCCAAAUAUACUACCUAACUAAAAACUAUGUAGUGAUGUUUUAUAGGACUUCAAAUACAUGUCCAAUUUAAGAAACAAAUAUCUAACUUGCAAUACAAAUUUCUUAUAUGUGUGCCACAUGGCCAACUUAUAUCAUAAGUCACCAACAUAUAUGACAUAUGGCCAAUUUAUUGGCCAUGUUUUCAACCUAUUAAUUACUAAUAAAUAUAUAAAAAUAAAAUUCAUGUUUAUAAAGCUUCUAAUUUUUUAAAUAAGAUAUUAUCAAAUUUAUUUAUUCCUAUUUACUUCUAUCUAUUUAUUCUAAUCUAAGAAAAUAUGUAAGUUUUUGAUAUUAUCCUCUCUUUUAGGCAUAAGUUUUAGAAGGAUCAAUGAUCACAUCUUGAAGAAGUUUAAGAUGUGAUAAAUUAUAUUUGCCACAUGAUUUAAUCUUUAUUUCUUCCAAAGGUAAUUCAUAGGUCAUCCUAGCCAUCAAUAUUGUAUCUUAUUAGGGUAGAAAGAUCACCCUAUUAUUUAAUCAUUCUUGAGGUUUUUAUAACUUUUUUCAAAUAAAAUAUUUGAUAUAUUAUUGGAGAUGAUUUCUACUUCUAAUAAAAUCAUUAAAUAUCAAAAGUUUCUUCCAAGGUCGUAAUAUCAAACAUAUUGUAUCUUACCAUCCAUUUAAAAAUUAACAUAUCAUUCUUAAAAGUCUUCAUUGCUAUUAUGUUGACUUGAAAGCUAUAACAAUCUCAAUGAUUUGUUUGAUAAUUUAGUAAAUAAUAGCUCUUGACUUGAAUCUAUUAGUUUUUUAAAUUUUUGAUCUCUUUAGUGCCACAAAUAUACAAAAAUCACAAAUAAGAAUAAGAAAUAGAAUGUAAUAUUUAUCAAAUCUUGUUUCUUUAUAGCAAAGAAUUGCUUAACUCUUUAUUUUCAUUUUAAUAGAUGUUGUGAAAAAAAAGCAUCAAUCUUUUUUGCUGCAUUUGUAAGAUUCUUAGUUGGCUUUUAUGUGUAUUUAUUAAUAUAAUAUCUCCACUGAUAUAUAAAAUAUUUCAACUUAUUUUAGUAUUUUCAUGAGUCUAAAACUUCUUUGACUUAAAACUCUUGGUUAUUAUCUAUUUCUAAAUAUAAAAUAUCAAUUUGCAUAAGUUUUGGCCUUGUUGAAUAUAUUUUAAAAAACUAAAGAAUUAUUGUCAUAACUUAACUUUUUUUCCAUCCAAAUAUUUGUUAUUGGCAUCUUUCAAAAAAUUGAUUAUUAUAUGAAAUUACUUGAGCAAUAAAUUGUUUGAAUUAAUUUUCUUUGGAUAUUAUCAACUAUAAAUCUUUGACAUUGUUUUUUAAUCCAUAUUGAAAUUUAUUGAUAAAGACUUUAUCAUUGUAAUAUACAUUAUAAGCAAGGGUUUGGAAUUUGGAAGCAUAUAUGGUAGUUGAUUGUGAUUAUUAUUGUAAAGACAAUGUUUAGACUUUUCUAUAGUUUUUUAAUUAUUUUUUAAAAAAUAUGACUGUAAAUAGUUUUUUAUAAAUAAAUUAAGAUUAUAAAAGAAUUGUGAAUAUUUUUCCAUCAAAAGUAUAAACCAAACAAUAACACUUUAUGAUAGAAUUGCUUUUAUAAAUCCAACUUGAAUAAAUCCAUUAAAAUAUUAUAAAAGUUACAACCUUCAAUAUAGCUUAAAUUAUUGUAGAAAUCUUCAAAAUUUAAUCUUAUUUCCAUGAAACUUCUCUAGCAUACCAAUUUUUAUAUCUCUAAUAUUUAUAGUAAUGAGGCUCUAUUAGAUUUAAUUGUGAGGUUGAUCUACUUUCUUCUUUGCACUCUACAAUUUCUUAGCAUAGACAUUAAAUUUAUUUAUUGACUUCUUUGACAUGUGUAUGAAUAGUACAUCCAUAGUUGACAUUAGAAAUACGUGAAAUUUCUACUCUAUGAAUAUAGAUAAGCUUAACUAGAUUUAUAAUAGUUGCAUACAUAUUAUCACUUCUGUCAAAUGUAGUAUCUAUAAUUUUUUUUAUAUUUUUAUAACAAAAAAUUUAAACAAUUAUAUAAGUCAAGUUAAAGUAAGGUAAUCUAUAAUAUUUAAUAUCACAUAAAAAUUUCUAUAAAAAAAUAGCUUAUUCUCUUUAUAGAAAAAAUCAAUGUUAAAACAAAAAAAAUAUUAGUUACCAAAUAAAUAGUGUGCAAUCCAUAAAAGAAAAAAAAUGGGAUAAUAUAAUUAUUUCUAAAAUUAAAUAAAUUAAUAAAUUAUUAUUCUUGAUAAAUUAUCAAAGAUAUGAAUCACAAAGAAUCAAAGAAUAAAUACAUUCUUAUAUUACAAGAAAAGAAUAGAUAAUCACUCAAAGAUAGUAUAAUAUUGAAAUUAAAAUGACUAUUGCCAAAGACAAGAAGUCUAAAGACUUUUGAAACAAGAAUAAGAAUAAGAAAAAAAGAGAAGGAUUCUUUCUUAUCUAUAUAUAUACUAUUUAAUUAAAAAUUAUAUUUUUGUAUUGUAAAAAAACUAUAUAAUAAAAGAUAAAAAUAAAAAGUAUUAUUUUUAAAAGGCCUAAUUAAAAAAAUAUAAUAGAAAAUGUAAGAUCAAUCAAAAAAUUAGAUUAAAAGAUAUUCAAAUUUGAUUGGAUCAAUGUUUUGAAUAUUUAAUUUUAUGAUCAAUGAUAGUUUUUGUGAUCUUGCAGAUUUGAUUCAAAUAAACUUUUAUUAGAAUGUAAGAAUUUAAAAAAAAAAAAUCAAUUUAGAAAGAAAUUGAAUAAUUCAAUAACGAAUAAUUGAUACUAAAAGAUUGACAUUAAGGUUGAAGAAGAAAGGCAACCAAAACUUCAAAUAAUUAGAGUUUUUUUUUUUUUUUUUUUUUCUUUUCUAAUUGAUAAAUUCAAUUCUUUUCAAUUUUUUUGUAUUUUCUAUUUGCUUAAAGAUUGAAAUGCGUAAUUUUUUAAGUUAAGAUCAAGAAUUUAAUUAAUUAUUAUUAAAAUUUAAAAAUUACUAUAAAAUUUUAAUUAUGAUUUAUUUAUGAUUUUAUGAAGAUUUAAUUAGGAUUUAUUUAGAAUUAAAUUAAAAUAUUUUUUCUUUCUUUCUUUUUUCUUUUCUUUUCUUUUCUUUUCUUUUGAAUGUGUAUAUUUCUUUGAUUUUCUAUAGCCUAUUAGAACCUUCUAGGAUUUCUUAUGACCUUCUAAAACUUUCUUAGAAUCUAUUAGAAUCUUUUAGAAUCUUUUAGGAUCUAUAAGAACCUUUAAAAACCUCCUAGAACCUUCUCAAAUCUUCUUUAGUUGUAUGUCCGUGACAAGAACAUCUAGUAAAGGUAUUAUUUUUUCUUUAGAUCUUUCACCUUGUUUGACUAUAGAAGUUUUUUUAGGACCAAAAAAUCAAAAAAUCUUAGUUUUAUUAGAUUAAAGAGCCUCAACUUGAUUUAUAGAUAAAGACUUUAUUAAAAAAUAAGAAAUAACUUUAAUUAAGAAAUCCAAACUUGUGCAUGUAGAAAUAAUAGAUGUUUGUUUGUUAUCUUUUAGAGAUGUUAUAUAUGAAUCUGUUUCUUUAGAUAUAGCAACUAAUAAUCAUAAUAAUUUAAUAAUAUUUAAUCUAAUUAGAUCUUCUUUAAAUUUAAUUAUUUUAGGAUUAUUAUCACUACAAAAAGUAUAACCUCUUAAUAGAUUAGAUUUCUCAUAACCUUGAUUUUUUCCAUAGUUUAAACUAAGAUUCUAAUGAGUAAGUAGAAAUCCAUAAGAUCAAUAUAUUCAAACCAUUAUUUGUAGGAACAAGGGCUUUCAUGCAUGUUUUACAAUAAGGAUCAAUUUUUUCUAUAUCAUUUUAAUAAUAAUUGAUGGUAUACUUCAAAUAUUGCUCCAAAACUUGAUUCAUCUAUUCUAUUUGUCCAUCAAUUUGAGGAUGAAAAGACAAAAAGAGCUUAAUUUUUAUCUUUAGAAUCUUGAAAAAGAUUCUCCAAAAUCUUGAUAAAAAUUGAGUCUUUGUAUCUGAUAUAAUAUCUUUAGGCAAUCCAUAAUAGUGAUAGAUAUUGUUAAAAAAAACCAAGCUAUUUUUUUUUACUUGGGAUAGAUAAAUCUAACGUGUAAAUAGAGUUACAAUUUGAAUAAAAUUCAAUUGAAUAAUAUUCAAAAAAUAUUGCACAUGAAACAUGGCAUAUCACAAGUAUAGCUUCAAUUUUUUUUUUCAUUAAAAUUUGGUUAUAUUCUUCUAUUCUAUUUAUUUUUGUUUAAUGUUAUUUGAUUCUAUUUUCUUUUACUUAGUCCUAUCUUUCAUGUUCUACUCCUUUUAUUUAUUUUUAGUUUUCUUUUAAUGUGCUUAGUCUUAUGUUGUGUCAAGAUCUUUUUUGUUAUAUAUUUGAUAAUAUUUUAGAUCUUAGAAAAUUUAAUCUUAUUUCAUUGAUAUAGCUUCAGAUAUUUUUUUUUAGUAAAAUUUGGUUUUUUUUCUAUUCUAUUUGAUUUUUUUUGAUUUUUUUUGAUUUUAUUCUAUUUUACUUAGUCUUAUCUUUUAUAUUCUAUUCUAUUUAAUUACUUUUAAUUUUUUUAUAGUUUUCUUGCUCUCAUGAUAUAUUAAGAUCUUUGUUGUUAUAGAUUUGGUAAGAUUUUAGGCCUUUUGAAAAUCCGAUCUUAUUUCAAUACAUCUCUUAUUAUUCUUGGAAUCUUCUAAUUUAUGAUAGUCUAAACCUUCUUUAGAUCCAUCAUUAGUUGUUUGUUGGAAAUGAUGUAUCCUAGGAAGUUAACUUGAAUAGUAUGGAAUACACACUUUUCUAACUUGGUAUAUAAUCCUAUAUCUCUAAGUUUUUGUAAUACAUGAUAAACAUGAACUUCAUAUUUUUCUAUGUUCAUAGAAUAGAUUAAGAACUCAUCUAAAUAACAAAUGAUAAAAUUAUUAAGAAACUCACAAAACACAUCAUUAAUUAGAUAUUAAAAAAUAAUUGGUUCAUUGGUGAGUCCAAAAGGAAUGACAUUAUAUUCAAAAUGUCCAUACCUGGUUUAAAACAUAGUUUUUGAUUCAUCUCUUUUUUAAUGCAAACCAGAUUAUAUGCUCUUUAUAGAUCUAUUUUUGUAUUGAUCUAUGCUUAAUUGAAUUGAUUAAAAAGUCUUAAAAUCAAAAAUAAAAGAUAUCUAUUUUUGAUCAUAAUCUUAUUAAGUCCUCAAUAGUCUACACAUAUCCGUUGAAAUCCAUCUUUUUUCUUUGCAAAUAAGAUAGAAGCCUUGGUUAGAAAUUUAAAAUGGCAUAUGAAAUUCUUAGCUAAGUUUUCAUCAAUAUAUUCCUUGAGUGCAGCCAACUCAUUUUGUGAUAGGCUAUAGAUUGGUCCAAAUGGUGGUUGAACACCUUCUUGAAGAUUGAUGAAACAAUCAUAAAGACAAUGCUCUAAAAGAAUAUUUAUAUUUUUUUUUUCAAAAAUAUCUUAAAAAUCUUAAUAUUAGCUAGAAAUACUACUUGAUAUCUUUCCACUAUCAAAAAUAGGUAUGGCAUAUAUAGCAAAAGAUGACCCUUCUUUUAUGGCAUACAUGAAAGCUCUUGCACCUAUAAGUAAGGAUUUAGAUAUAUUAGACUUAUGUAUUUUUACUUAACUAAUAGAAUUUUGGAUUAAACUAUCAAAAAAAUUAAGGUUAUUAGAAAUCCAAUCUAUUUGAGGAUUAUAUUUUUUUAAUCAAGCUAAUUCUAAAAUAAUUAGAUUGAAUAGAGAACUUAUUAUAUUAAAUAUUAUUGUGCUAUUAUAAUCUUUAAUUACUACAUCUAAAGGAACAGUUUCAUACAUAACAUCUCUAAAAGAUAGCAAACGACUAUCUAUAACUUCUACAUAUAUGGGCUUAGUUUUCUUGACUAAAAAUAUUUUUUAUUUUUUAAUAAAUCUUUCUUAUAAAACAGGCUAAGGCUCUUAAAUCUAAUAAAGCUAAGACUUUGUGAUUUUUUGGUCUUAAAUAAGCUUCUAUUAUAAAAUAAGGUGAGAGAUUUGAUGAAAGAAUAAGACUUUUAUUAGAAGUUAUGCAAGAUUUUAGCUACAUGGUUCCUAUUAUAGCUAGAGAAACUCGUUUUUUGAUACAUUGUCUUCUUUAGCAACCAUGCUUCUCAUUUUUUGGUUACAUUGUUUCUUUGGAUAAUAUUGAACAUUGUGUUUAGCUUCUCCAUAAUAUAAGUAUAAGCCUUCUUAAUGUUAUCAAGUCUUUUCUUGCUUUGUAAAGAAUUUAAAACAUAUCAUAUCAAUUUGUAUUGAUUUUAAUCUUAAUAAAUAAGUUUCUAAAAACUUAGGAAUUGUCGUCAUUAUUUGACUUGUUUUUCUUCAACCAAGUCUUUAUUUUUGACAUCUUUCAAAUAAACAAUUUUCACAUGUAAUGGCUUGAGCAAUAAAUUUUUUUAAAGUUCUUGCCUUUAACAUUAUCAAUAAGAAAUAUUUGACAUUAUCCUUCAAUCCAUAUCAAAAUUGAUUGAUAAGGACUUUGUCAUUCCACUCCAUGUUGCAAUCAGGGUUUUAAAAUUCAGCAACAUAUAUGGUGGUUGACUAUAAGCUUUGCUAUAAAGAUAAAAGCUUAGUCUUUGCUAUUAUUUCUUGAUCACUUUCUCCAAAUAUGGUCAUAAAAACUUCUAAGAAUAUAUUCAAAUCAUAAAAAAGUCAGAAAUUCUUUUCUAUUAAAAGUACAAACUUAAAGAGAACACUUUUUGAUAGAAGUGUGUAUAUAAAUCCAACUUGAGUAAAUCCAUAAAAGUAUUGGAAGGGAUGCAACCUUACAUAGAACUUGAUUUGUUGCAAAAAUCUUCAAAAUUUUGAUCUUGUUCCAUCAAACUUCCGAAGUAUAUUAAUCUUUAUCCAUGUUAUAUUUAUAGAAGUAAAACUCCUUGAAUUUGGUUGUGAGGUCAAGCUACUUAUUUCUUUUAACUCCAUAAUUUCUUAAUACAAAUUUUGAACUUCUUUUAUAGAUAUAGAAAUAAUACUUCUAUAAUUUACGUUAAAAAUACAUGAAAUUUCUACUCUUAGAGUAUUGGCAAGCUCAUGAAGAUUUGUAAUAGUUACAAAUCUAUUUUCACUUCGGCUAAGAAUAGCAUCCAUAAUUUUUUCUUCCAUAGAUAAGUCAAAUAAAUUUAAAAAUUUUAAUUAGACAAGGUUAAUCCACAACUUCUAAUAUCAAAUGAAAAUUUCUAUAAAGAGGGAUAAUGUACUUUCUUUUAAGAAAAGUUCAUCUUACAAAAUAAGAUUAUUUGUUUAAAGGUAGGUAGUUCGCAACCUCCAAAAUACAAUAAUAGAAGUGGGAUAAUUCACUCACUUCUAAAACAAGACAAAAAUAGUAAGUUAGUACUCUUGUUAAACUAUGAAGGAUAUGAAUGUCAAAGAAAGAAAUCUUCAAUACACUCUUGUGUCACUGAAAAGAAUCAGAAAGUUAUUCAAAAGAUGAUAUAGUAUUGAACUAGAAUGGCUAUUGCCAAAAACAAAAAAGACUAGAAACUCUUGAAAUUAGAGUAAGGACUAAAAAAAUAUUGAUAAGAGUGAAGAAGGCUUCAUUCUUGCCUCCAUAUAUAUUCUUAACUAAGAGCUAUGUGGCAAUGUUCUAUAAGCCCUUCAAAACAUGUUGACUUUGUAAGACAUGUAUUUUAACUUACAAGGCAAGUUUUUAUAUGCGUAUCACAUAAUUAGCUUAUUUUACAAGCUACCAACAUAUAGUUAGUUUAUUGACCAAGUUUCUAACCUAUCAAUCAACUACAAAUACAUGUAAAGUCAAAGCAACAUCUAUAAUACUUCUAAGAAGCUUCUCUAAAAAAUAUUAUGAAAUAAAUCUAUUUUUAAUUACUUCUACUUAAUCGUAUAGAUAAAAAUUAGGAUAAAUAUGUAUAUUCAUGAAAAGAAGUUAAGAAGGCCUCAAUAAUGAUUGAAUAAUUGGGUAAUUUUAUUUCCUAAGAAUAGAAUAUUAUUGGUGGUUGAAAAGACCUAUCAACUACUUUUAAAGGAAAUAACAAUUAGAAUAUGCGACAAAUAUAAUUUGCCAUAUCUUUGACUUCCUCAAUAUGUGAUCUUUAUUUUUUGUGAAAUUUUUCUUUAGAAAGAAGAAGAGAGGGAGGGAGGAAAGAAGUAAUGUCAUAGACAUACUUAUAAUUAUUUAGAUAAUAUGAAUAGGUAGAAGUAGAUAAUAUGAAUAGGUAGAAGUAGAUAAAAAUAGCUUAAUUUGAUAAUAUCUUAAAGAAGAGCUUCUUAAAAGCUUCAUAGACGUGAUUUCACCUUUAUACAUAUCUAUAGGUGAUUGAUAGGUUAAAAAAUUGGCCAAAAACUUAACUACAUGUCACACAUAUUAGUAGCUUGUGGUACAAGCUAACGAUAUAGCGCACAUAUAAAAAAAACUUGACUUGUAAGUUAAGACAUGUGUCUUGCAAAUUUAUAUGAUUUUAUGAAAGAAUCUAUAAUUAAUAGAUUAAUUACUUAAAUCAAAAAAAAUAUUUAUAAGAUAUUAGAAAAAAAUCCAAAAAUUCUUUAUAGAAUAAAUUAUUUAUGAAUUUUUAUUAUAUAUAUAUAUAUAUAUAUAUAUAUAUAUAUGAUUUUAUUUCUGGAUUUUAUUUAAAAAAUAUAAAAAAUUAUUUAAUUUUAUCUUAUAGAAUUAUUAUUGCUUAAUUUAAAAUUAAUAAUAAAUCCAACAUAACUUAUUUACUUCUUAUACAUCUAUUUAUUUGUAUUUAUAUGCAUACAUAAUAGUCAAAGGCUUAGACUACAAGCACACCUCAAGUUGCUAUAUACACAUCCAAGGUUUUUGAUUGACUCAUCCAAAUCUCUUUUUUCUUAUUCUUGUGCCAAGCCCAGUCUUCUUCUUUUUUUCUAUUCUUCUGGCACAUGUCUUGGCCCCUGUCCUUUUCUUUCUUGCCUUGACAUGGAUCUUGGUCCUCUUUGCCUUUUCUUUCUUAUUUUAAUAUGAAAUCAUUCAUGAAUUGAGUCUAGUGCCUUGCAUUAUAAUUAAUUGUAUACUCAAAUUGGGCCUAAUUUGCUUCUAUAAACUAUUAGAGUGAAAGAUAAGUGAAGUAUUGUCUAAUUAGGCACUAUUAAAUAUUUGAGCUUUAAAAGCAUAAUAAUUUAAAAUAAAUAGUUAUUUUAAAAAAUAUAAAUAUUACAUAAAAUUAAACAUGUGAAAAUUUCAAGAUAAGACAAGUAGAUCUAUUGAUUGAACUUAUAGUUGAAUCUCAAAAUAUUUAAUGAAUGACAAAAAAUAAUUUGGAAUUUAUUUAAUAAUUUGGCUAUAAGAUUUACUUAUACAAUUGUAUAAUGGAUUGAAAUUGGUGAUUCUUGAGAUUGGCCAAUUUGGUUCUUGCCAUCUAAGAAUGUACUAAUGUGUAAAUUUUAAAAACCUUCACUUGCAACUAUUUGUGCCUACAAUGAUGUUGAAUGGUCAGUAUUUGAGAGACUAGGAAUAGUUAUAGAUUUCCACCAUUCAUUUCAAUUGUGCUAUAAUAGAAAGAUGUAUUUGAGGUACUUCAUUCCAUACAUUGUGGAUUACAUGUCAUUUCAUAGUUUUCAAUGAAAUUAUUAUCCUAAGUAUUAUCUACAAAGUCCAAAUAAAAGAAUACAAAGUAGUCUCAAUAUUUUAGUUUUCUAACCUUUUGUAGAUUUGAAUAAUGGACCAUAACAUAAGACUAAGCCUAACAAGAAUUAAAAAUUUGUGAAUUUAACAAGCUUAGAUAUUGUGGAGGCAUAUUUAUUUUAAGACAUUCUACACUCUAAAAUCCUAGGUCAAAUGUUACUUUCUAUUGUCUUAAUACUAUUGACUUUAGUUUUGAUAUUGAUGAUUUUUUAUUUCACUUUUUAGGUUCAUCAAUUUAAAUGUUUUGAAUAGAAUAUUGUUUAGUUAUAGCACAUGUUUUAUGAAGCAAAGUUAGAGCAUAUUUUUGUAAUUUCUUAUAAAAAAAUCCAUCUUUCAAUUAUAACAAUAGGAAAUCUUCUAUGCUUUGACCAUCUUAGUCUUUUUUAUUACCUAGAGGAGAUUUUUGUAGCAUUGUCAUAAGGUGAUAUAUUCAUAUUAGAAUUUAUAUGCUUAGUGUAAAAAAGUCUACUUCUAAGCAUACAAAGAUUAGACUUUGAAGGUUUACAAACAAAAAUAUUUCUUAUAGUUAAGAAGAUCCAAGUGUCUUCAAUCAACAGUAGAGCUUGAUAGUAUAAAGUAAGAAAUAAAUAUUACAAAUUCAAUUAUCAAUGCUUAAACUAAUAAAUGAUGCCUCAUAAAAUAGGAAAAAUAUCAAUAUAUUAACUGUGUCCUAUGUACUUACUCAAAAAGUAGAUACUAGACAAGAUACAAACAAUUGGUAGCUUGUACAAAGUAGGUACGAGAUCUCUCUAAGAAUUCAAAAAAAUUCAGUAGCUCUUGUUUUCAAUCUACAACAAGAUAAUGUUCAUCCAGCUACAUUGAUUGUCACAAAUUCAAAUUAUUAAGUUCAAAUGAAAGUUCCAUAUAGAAACUUCUACUCAAUACUUCAAUUACUUAAUCAUUACAUAAAACAAAAAAUUGUGGAAAUCAUGCAAUGACUAGCGACCUUAGUGACCUUUUGCAAAUUAUAUUAUUUACGUCUUGCAAUAUUUUUUCCUAAUUAGUUAUUUUUAAAUAUAUGUUUCAUUCAAAAAACUUCUUGUAAAUGACUUCUUAUGAAUAAUCUUCCAAUAUGUUGCGGAAGUAGAAAAAGAAGAGGGUUGAGACUUCUACCUAUAAAAUAAAGAAAGGUGGUGAGACUUACAUUGAGGUAAGGAAGAGAAGGAGGGAAUUGGUAUCAUAUAAUAUAAAUUCUUCCUUGAGAGUGCAUGAGAUACCUUGUUGUGGAUAGUAAAUAGAAAAUCCGACAACAAGAUCCUAUCAAGUCUAAUAAAAUCUUGAUUAUUUCUAAAUACUCUUUAAUAAUUCUAAUCAAAUUUUAAUCAAUUUAAAAGAAAUUUAUAAAAAAUUAUAAAAGAAAAAUAAUUUUAAAAUUCUAAAAAUAUAUAAAAAAUAAUAAUCUAAAAGAAAUAUUAAAAUAAAAAUAAUAAAUAAAUUCUAAAUAAAUCCUAAUCAAAUCUUGAUAUAGUCUUAAUAAAAUCCUAAUUAAAUUUUAACAAAUACUUAAAUAAAUUUUAAUCAAAUAUUAAUCAAAUUUUAAUUAAAUCCUAAUCAAAUCCUAAAUAAAUCGUAGACCAAAUCCUAAUCAAAUCCAAACCAAAUUCUAAAUUUAAUCCUAGAGAAAAUCCUAAUAAAAUUAUAAUCAAAUUUUAAUCAAAUUUUAAUCAAAUUUUAAUCAAAUCCUAAUCAAAUUUUAAUCAAAUCUUAAUCAAAUUUUAGUCCAAAUUCUAAAUCUUAAAUUAAAUCAUAUUGAAAUCUUAAUCAAAUCCUAAAUGAAUCUUAAAUAAUCCAAAAAAAAUCCUAAAUAAAUCUUAAUCUCUUCUUAAAGCUAUUUGAAAAUCUCAAUAUAUAUUUAUUAAAUAAUUGUAAUUAAUAAAUAUAAAAAAUUUGAAGAGAAUCAAAUUAAAAAAUUUAAAAAAAAAAAAAAAAACUUUCAAAACCUCUUGGAUGUUGGCUACUAUCUUUCUCCAACUUAGAUGUUAAUCUUCCAAUAGCAUUUUUUCCUUGUUUAACCAUUAAAUUAUUUCAAAAAUUGACUAGUGUAUAGAUUUAUAAGCCUAAAUUUCUAUCAUUAAUUUAUACUUUAAUCAAAUUAGUGGAUGUUACAAGAUUUUAAAAAUCCUCAUUAAUCCUAAAUUUCAAUUUUCUAAAACUUUAACUCAAUAAAACUCUCAUGUCCUUUAAUCUAAUCUUUCUAUCAAUAUUAAUUUUUUAAACACAUUUAGAACAAGCAUAAUAAAAAAAGUUAAAAAUUUUCACUUGUAAAUGUAUUACAAUAUUAACAAAAUCCUCAAAUUUAUAAACCUCUUUUUAUUUCUCAAAAUCCAAAUCCAUUGAAUAAAUCUCUUACUUUGAAAAGCCUUCAAAACCUCAAUAUACCUUCAAUCAUAUGAAAUCAACUCUCUAAAAUCUUUUUAUAAUUUAGUUGUCAAAUUUUACUUUCUAAUCAACCAAAACAAUCCUAGAGUUACUAUAGGUUUGUACCUCGAGAUUUGAUUUCAACUUUGGUUCACAACUAGUCCUCUUUGAGAAUCAAUUUUUGGUAUUUUGAGGUAAUAUUUAUUAAAAAAUAUUCUUAAUUCCUUCAUAAAGAUGUCUAUAUUAAUUACUUAUCUCAUUUAUUUUUAUUUGGCUCAUUUAUGCUCCUAUAAAGUAAAUAGAAGUUUCUUCUAUAAUAAGGUAGUAUUAGCACUUAUUAAUUUUUACUACUUCCUUGUCUAUUAUCUAUAUUUUUAAGAUAAUUUGCUAAAAUAUUUUUAUUUAAGCUCUUCUAUGAUAAAUUAUUUCUUUUCUUCUUUCACUCAAUGGUUAUAUUACUACACAACAUCAAGACCCAUAUUAGGCAAAAGAAAAAAAGAGAGGAAUUAAGAUCUACAUAAAGAUAAGAGAAAAGAAAUCUAAUUAAGCAAAUUAGAAGCCUUGAGUGUAUAUAUAGCAACUUGAGGUAUGCUUGUAGCUUGAGCCAUAGUCAAAAUAUAAAUCACUUAGUAAUAUAUAUAUAUAUAUAUAUAUAUAUAUAUAUAUUUAAAAUCUUCAAGCUAUUAUUAAAAAAAUUAAAUAUAUAUUUUUAAAGUAAUAUUUUUAAAAUAAAAAAUAUAUUUGGCCUAUUAAUGCAUAGUUGCUAUUAUCUAUGGUUUGUUUUGGUAGAUUUUUUAAAAAAAUAUACUUAUUUUGACCUGAAAAUAUUUUAUUUAAUAUCUCAUAAAAUUAAAAAUUAGAUUUAUAAGCUAAAAAAUCACAUUUUAGAUUUAUAUUAGUAUUAAAAAUAUUUAAUAAGUAUGUAUUUUAUUUAUUAUAUUAAAUAUAUAUAGUGCAUUUAAAGAUUUAAUUUAAUAAUUAUAAAUAUAAUAUUCAUACAUUUAUAAAUUUAUGUAAUCUAUUAUUUAUGGAUAGUUAUUUUUAAAAUAUUUUUAAAAACUUAUUAAACAAACAGACAUCAUCGGCAAUCAAGAAAAUAAUUCACUAUUAUUUUAAAAGAUGUAUAUUUUAAAAACUAUGUACAAAAUAUUUCACCAAAGAUUUUAAUGUUUUAUUCUAUUUUAAUUUCUAAAUCUUACAAAAUUAAAUUUAAAUGUCAUUUAAAUGUAAUUAGAGGCACAUUUAAUAGAAUAAACAUCUUUAAGUGAACUUCUUUUUAUUUACUUCAAAAACAUCUUACAAAAACGUAUUUUCUAGCCAUAAGAAUUCCAUAUGAAAAGCAUGAGAUCUCAAAUUCAAUCCGAUGAGAGCUUUAUUCAAAGUGCUUUUAGUCCAAUAAUCAACUAAAGGACUUAAUAUUUCCUUGGAAAUUUAUCUCUAUCUUGAGAUACUUAGGAAGACCAAUUAAAGGCCUCCAAUUCCAUUCUACUAUCUCAAUAAUUAUAUCAGAUUUGACUCAGAGUAGAAAUUUUUCAGAAGAUUGCAACUGCUUGAAUCAAAUGCAUGGCACUCACCACUCAUUUGUUAGUAUCCAAUGUAAGUGGAACAAAUAUAUUUAGAAAGUAAUGCAAAACUAAAGAAACGGUCAGAAAGAAAGACAACAAGUCAAAACAGGAGAUAUCUUGUGUUUAUCAAAAUCCUUCAUAUACACGUGCUUAACAGCUUGCCUGUGCUACAUUGGGUAAGGCGGUAACCCCAUAAGAUCAAGUAUUGAAAAAUAUACUAUCCAACUUUUCUUAACCAGUGUACCAUUUCACCUUUACAUCUGCAACUCAGUUGAGGAAGAAGCUGAGAACAUUAUCCGAGAUGGCUCCGACCGAUGAUAGAUGUGCAUAUCUAGCUCACCGCUGAUUUUCACCUAUCAUUUGUCAUGCUUAUGGAGUGGUCAAAUUUGAGGGCCGUGUGCAGGCAGAGUCCAGCAGCUUGAAACCUUCCAAUCCAAAACAUACUGCAAAACCUCAACCGUUAAAGACAUGUCAGACUCCCAGCUAAACACAAAUUAAUAAUCAUUCCUGACGAUCACCAGAUUUAUACGUCUGACAAAGAUCUUCAAAAAGAGGAUCCCAGGUACACACAAGUGUCAUCUAGAUAAAAAAAAACACAACGUCAACCAGAACUAAUCUACAACAUCAACAACAAAAGUAAAACAAAAGAUACAAUUUGAAGGGCAUUUCGUUAGAGAAGCCAUUGACAGUCCCACACCAUUGACAGCAUUGCGUUUGCGACCUCGGGGUCUUCGAUGCUUGCGUCGGAGCUGUAUACCAAUGAGCGAUUGGCGCCUGGUAUCAUCUGAUUCAAGUGAAACUGAUGCCCUUCCUCGGGUUCUUUUAUUUUCGUACUGCAAAAAGACCAUAAUAGCUGUGCACCCAGAGAACAUCAGCAGCAGCACGACUCUAAAACAAGAUUUAAAAAAAACGGUCAUAUGGGAUUCAAAAUCAGUGGAAUUUAACGAGCUGCGCUUAAUUAGAAACUGUAGCUAAAGAAAUCAAAGGAUCUAAAGAAAACUAUUUUGUAAGAGGCUCAGGCAGACAAAUCAAUCGUAGACAGACUGAUCUGUGUGUAUGAUAUAAUACAAAUACUUAUUGUUGGAGAGAGGCAUUUAAUACAUUUCAGACUAUCUCGAAUUUUCUGGAUUACUUGCGAUAAAUGUAACAUCACAUACUUGAUCGAUCUUUAGGACCUUUCUGAUGAAUUUUAUCAAUUGCCAAGAAAGUUAGAACAUUACUAAUAUCGGACACUUCGAACUCAUGAGCAAAUACAAAGCAACACAACAGUCCAAAAAACUAGGUUGUCCGUGCAGGAAUUCCAAUUAGACUACCUUAAUAGAGUCGCUCAUCAGAAACCUUCGAUGGGUCCUAGCACCAUCAGAAAAUCGGAUCCCCACUCUACAUGAUCCAGGAGCUUUGAUCUCGGGCUAUUCUGGUAGUGGUGGGUAAACAAUUGGCUAAGUAACCUCAGCAGCAGCAAACUCCGCUUCCACUUCCUGUCUUGAGGAUGCUCCAGACGACUUCGCAAAUCAACUCCAUGCGUUGUGGAUCUGAUAUUAAACAUGGGCCGCUCACUGCUGACUGUUGCUGCUCAUCUGGCUCCAAGUCGACGAUACCUACAAGAACCCCAAAUUCAAUGUUAGACUUAUUGUCGAAUAGUAGUCAAAACAUGUUGGACAAAGAAGGUUACAGAGCACUGCCAAAAGACCAAAAGUCCAACACUUAAUUAUCAAUGUUCUUUAGAAGGUCGGCUAGCGUCCUUUGCGGCUUCAUGGGGACGCUUAUGAGAUGGGAAAGCAACUGGCUGCUUCCCAAGAGGAACCAUGUCCACGGAGCACACAAGAUCCUGUUUGACAAUACUGUUAACGAGUUAACCUGGUGAAAAUCAAACACUUACAUGAACAGCAUCACCCCAAACCCCGAAUUUUUUCAAAAUUCAUGUUCCAAAACAGUUUCAUGACUUAAAGCACGAAGACUGCAACCGUUGAUAGAUAGCACAGGAGGAUCGCAUCUUUUGCCCUGUGAUAGGAUCGGUCAAUAGGAUGGAAGGCAUGUGUAAUAGCUUAUAGUAAGUGGAAACUUUCCUGCCUUCUUCUGUGUCAUCAUACGCCUGUCAAUAAAGUGGUGGCGCCAAACCACACUGAAGAUGUGCAAAAAUCACACUUCAACAGCAAAAACUGCAUUAGGAAAAUGAUGAUAAAAUUUUCCUUACACAGAGAAGUCUAAGAAAUAGGAAAGAUAAGAUGGACUUGCCAGAAUAUAAAAGAGGUACCAACAGUGUCCUUCACUGCCUCAUGUCCCCAUGUAUCCCGAUUCAACUGUGGCCCAAUUACCAAAAAGUAUUAACAGGACAACCCAUCAAGAACUCAAAUCAAUGACCUCACUAUGCCAAACACUAAAAUCCUCAUCCAAACUAUGUUCCACAUGUACAUCUGCAAAUCUAUUAAAAAUCUCAUUUAUUUUAUCUUGACAAUCCUUUGUGUAUGUAACAUAAUGCAUACCAUAUAACUAGCAAAUUUGACCAGCAACCACUUCAUCUGUUUUGCACCAUCUAUUUUCUAUUUUAGCCUGCAAAAUAGCAAGUUUCAGAAGCUGUAAACUGGUUCUCCAAGUAUGUUUUGAGAAACAAUAAAUGAUCAAAGUAAAUGCAUAAUUAGCCACUUGUCCAAGCUAAGAGUCAUGUUCAUUCCACAAGCAUUUGGCUCUAACAACAGAAAUUAAAUAAUUACCAGAAUGGAUAGCGCACAUUAUUUUAUGAAGCUCCCAAAUGGGAUUGAAAGUGUCAUAUUUGUUCAAAUGUGCUUUGGAACAUAAAAACAAAUGGUGGAAGAUAGAGAGCUACUAAUGAGUCCCAUGGUGAAUCACCUACAUGACCCACAUAGAUAUUGGCCUAUCUUCUGCCCCACCUUGACUAUUGAUUGGCUUUAUCUUCAAAAUUCCUAAAAAUGUCUAAGAUAUUUAAUCCAUUGUUGACCACCUUCUAUUUUUAAUCUAUAAGGUGGAAUAUUUUUGCUAUGUUGACAAUCUAUUGUCCACAAAAUUUGACAUUUUGUGGUUGACAAUAGGUCAAGGGCCUCGUAGAAAUGGAUUAAACUCUAAUCAAAAUAGGUUUUCAAUUAGUAGCAAAAACCAAUUUUUGUAUUAAUGGAGUAACACACAUAUGGUAGCUAAUUAUAAAGUAGUAGAUAUUUUUUUUUAUGUUGAUGAUAUGAUUGAUAUGUGUACUUCUAAUCUCCAAAAUUACAUUGUCCACAUGACAAAAAUUCAAAAAGCCUUAGUUGUAAAUAAAAUGAAGAUAGCUUAAGUUGUUUUUCCAUAUUCAGGAUUUGUGACUAGGUCAAUUGUGAAGCAAGUGGAGGAGAAAAGUGGGUGAAUUUUUAAUAUUGAAGUAUUCUAAAGUUGCAAACUUGAUAGUCGGAAUAUCAAAAUGGAAGGUACGAAGAAGCAGCAAUUUACAACACAAUCUAUAUUGCAUUGAGUGAGUAUGAGUGUGAAGAAGAGAAGAGAGGAGAGGAGGGGAGAGAGAAGGGAGAGCAUUUCUAAAGUAAAUUAAGUCUUUAAGUCAUUUUGGUUUUGAGCAACAAAGACACCAUUUCUAUUGAAAGAAAUUAAAAAUUCUUACAAAAUUCUAGUAAAGUUAAUUGUCAAAGAGCGGAGUAUAAGUCUAUGCAACUCUUUACACAAGAUAAGUUAGAACUAUUACUUUUUCACUUUAUGGUUUAUAAUUACUUAUUAAAAUAUUGUAGCAUUUUGAUACUUUAAUUUUUUUAAUUUAGAAUUAAAAUUAAAUCUUUAUAAAGUAACAUAUUACUUGAUAUAUAUUAAACAAAAAAUUAUCAAAUUAAGCAACUAUGCCAUAAAUAUUGUAAUACUUAUGCCAUUGAUUGGAAUUUAUCCAAGAUUAAAAUAAGCACUUUGUCUUGGCCAUUUUUUUUGGAAUCUUUAGAAAAAAAAAAAUAAUUUUAGCUUAUAAGAUAAUUUUUUGUACUAUACAACUAUUAUAGCAUAGAAUCUAAUCUUAAUUUUGUUUCAUAAUAUUAAAACAAUAAUAAUUUUCUACCAAAGACUACAUUAUUUUGGAAGGCAAAUUUAGUACUUUCAUAGAAGCUUGCAUUGACAAAGUCAAAUACUUUUUUAUCAAGGAGAGAAGUUUCUUGCACCAAGUCAUUUGGCUUCAAUUGAGAUACACAAGAGAAUAUUGUGGGUGCAUUUUUUAUUUCGAAAGAUUACAAAUUUCACAUGAUGCAUGAAAAAAUGCUUGCCAAAUUGAAUAUAGCAAAGAAUAGAAAGAAAGAUGAGUAUGAUGCAAUGUGAGUGGAAUAAUCAACAAUAAGCUAAGAAUUUGUUGCAAAGUUAGGUUAACCAUGUAAUAUUAUUGUAUAAUAAUAUAACUAUAUGGUGAAAGAUAAAAUAUGGGUAUUAUUAUAUAAGAGCCUAAUAGAAAGAUCUAGAAGAUGGAGGUGACUAAAUGAUAGGAAGGUAAUAAAAACUUCUAGUAUUAAUGUUAUAUCAGGUUGCAAAUUAUAGGGAAAAAAAAAAAAAAAAAAAAAAAAAAUCUUCUAAUUACUUUGUAAGGCCAUAAAUAAGACAAAAAAAAAAGUAGAUUAAAAAAAUUCAUGUUUAAGGGAGUUUAAAUUGAAGAAUGGUAAUCAUGAUAGCUUUGAUGGCAAGAAUCCUUACUGAUCUCCAAAUAGACUGAUUAAAAUUAGAAUUAUAGUUGAAACUUACAACUAAAUUAUUAAAUUAAUUGAUUUUUAAGAUUUAAAAUUCAGAUUUGGGCUUGUAAAUAGUCAAUCGUAGGUUUAAAAUGUAUUUUAGGAACAUUGACGGUGUUAUUUUUGCCAAAAAGAUGUUAGUUUUUGAAUUAUAGGCAUUUUCAGACUUAAAAUCGGAUUGAGGCUUAGAGUGAUUGUGGACCCUUGAUCUUAGUUAGGAGUUUUUUUAUUUAGAUGGUGGAGAUGUAGCCGCCACCUUUGGGCCUCCUCCUACGUGGUUAAGAGGGAUUGGAUGGCCGAGCUCCUUCUCUCUCUUCCCCCUUUUGUAAGAUGAAGCCCUACCAAAUCAUUCGUAGGCUUUUAAUUGAAGGAAUUUUCUUCUACCUUAUCAUUACUUCGGUAUUUUUUCCUCUUAGUCACUCAAUUUUUUUACUCUUUAAGCAAUAUUUAAUACCCUUGUUCUUUUAGUUACUAGCUUCUCAAUGAUGUAAGCCACAAAUAAUUUAAAGUUUAGACGGAUUUUUGGCAAAUUUCUAAGUGAUAGGGGGGCUAUUGUCCUUGACAACAUAAGAGCAUCAACUUCAAAAAUUUGUAACUCAGUGACUUCUAACUCAACUUUAAUUUGAUUUAUUAUUGUGAAUUCAAUUUAAAGUUUUGUUAAUUAAAAAAAUUGAGUCACUAAAUUUUAAGUUAUAAAAAAAAAUUGAUCAUUUUUAAAGUGAAGAUGGAUCUACUACCUUCGCAGUUUAGAAAUAUUUGCUCUGGAAAAACAUAGCUUAAUACCUACUGAUAUUUUGUCAUCAAAUCUUUUUUUUGGAAAAAGAGCCUUGAUAAGUUUAGUUAUAGGAAAAAAUUAGAAUUUUUAACUUUGAAUCACUAACCAAUUUCUUAGUGAAUUUUUAAGUAGAAGAGGGUCUACUGCCAAAGCAAUCUAAGUGGCUCUACUUGAAAAAAACCAUAUCUCAAGCAUUUCGGAUUGGAUUGCCACAAGAUUUGGAGAGGUAGGAGUAUGCUAGAGUUCACCAAAAUUCACAUGCAUGGAAGUUUUGGAGAAUUUUUGGUGAAAUUUUGAGUGGCAAAGGGUGGAUGCCUCGAACUUAAUAUAUUUAAGAUAUGUUAUUUUUUUUUCUUCUCUAAUCAUCCUCUAAUUACAUUCUUUUAGCACCUAAUCUAUUAUACUAGUUUUUACUUGUCUUAUUAUCAUUCAUUAAUUUUAUUUAAUAAUUUUUAAGAACUUUUCUCUCACUCCAAUAAUUAUUGGUAAAGUUUUAUCUUUUCAUCUAUCUUUAUCUUUAAAAGAUAAAAGAAAAAAACUAUUCCUAUCUUUUUAUUUUUACCAUUUAUUUUUAAUCUUAUUUUAUAACUUUUAUAUUUUUACUUUUAACUUUUUAUUGUUGUUAUUUUAAAUUCUUCACUCAAUUUUUAGUUAUUAAUUCUAACUUAUUUUAUUUUAUUUUAUUUUAUUUAUAAUUUUCAAAGUUUAAGCUUGAUCAAGUAAACCUUGAAAGGUAAUUAACUAAUUAAACUAUAACAUUUAAGAAAUCAUAAAAAUUAUAUACUUGACUUGUUGUAUUUGGUUGGACUAAUUGUGAUUAUUAAAUCAUUUAUUUAUUUAUUUAUUUAUUUAUUUAUUUAUUUAUUUAUUUAUUUAUUUAUUUAUUUAUUUAUUUAUUUAUUUAUUUAUUUAUUUAUUUAUUUAUUUAUUUAUUUAUUUAUUUAUUUAUUUAUUUAUUUAUUUAUUUAUUUUAUGAUUUAUUUACCCACAUUGGUUAAAAUUGAAUUUUAAUCUAAGUUACAAUUGAAUCAAAUUGAACUUAAGUGAGGAUAGGGAAAAAAAAAAAAAAAAAAAAAAAAAAAAAAAAAAAUGCUCACAAUUACCACACCAUCUUUCUAUAUUUUGAAAGAUAAACAUUUUCAACAAAACUACAUAAAGCAUUACAGGUUAGGUGCAACUAUAGCAAUGCAAUCCAAGGCUUGCAUAAUAAGUAAUUUAUUUUCUAUUGUAAUAUAGUAAUACAACUAUAUAGUAAAAAAUAAAAAUAAAAUUGAUUGUUAUUAUAAAAGAGCCUAAUAGAAAGUUGUAAUAGAAGAACAAUGAUAAAUUAUAGAAAGAUAGUAAAACAUUUAGUCUUAAUGUAAUCUUUUAUAAAAGAAACUUCUAUUUACUUUGUAGAAGUAUAAAUGAACCAAAUCAAAGUAAAUAAAACAAAAAUAAAUAAUAUAAACAUAUUUAAAAGAGAAUUAAUAAUAAAUUAAAUUAAAAUAUACCUCAAAUUAUCAAAAAUUGAUACUUGUAAAAGAACUAUUGUCAAUGAGAGUCAAAAUCACAUUUCAAGGCACAAAAUUGUGUACCUAUGAUGUCUCUUCGUUUCUUUUGUAAAUCAAAGAGUGGAACUUAAGAAAAGACUUUAUAGGAUUUCUUUGAGCAUUAGUUUUGAGAAAUUUGAGUUUGUAAUGACUUUAUAAGAGCUUUGCAAAGUCAUGAUUUUUUUUGGUAGAUAUGAUUUUGUGAAAUAAAAAAAAGGUGUAUAUUUGAGAGAAAUUUGUGACUUUGAUAAUAGAUCUACAAGUGAAAAUUUGUGGAUUUAUGUUUAUAGUUGUUCUUAUUGUGCACUAUAAAUUUGAGUGUAAUCAAAUGGUUAGAUUGAAGGCUAUUGAAGUUCAAGUAGGUUGGGGUCUUGAAAAUAGGAUUUUGAAGAUUAGUAAGGAUUUUUAAGAUCUUUAGCAAUUUGCUAGUUGGAUUGAGGUGAAAUUAUAUAUGUGAAGUAGUAGACUUGAUUUCCAACAUAUAUGUGAAUUUUGAGAGGUUUUGACAAUGUAAUUAAGAGAUUUUUGGCUCAAGGAGUUUAGCAUUAAGAUUGGAGGAGGAAGUUGGCCAACACCUGAGAAAAUUUUAUGAUUUGUCAUCUAUUUGAUAUAUGUGAGUUUAUUAAAAAAAAAUUGUGCUUGUUGCUAACUUAGUUGUUACAAGAUAUACAAAGUUUGAAUCAAAAUUAAUCCUUCAAUCAUUUUUUUUUGAAUUUUGAAUUUGUAAUAGGUUUAUUCAAAAUUUUAUUUAAGAUUUAGGAUUUGAUUAAGGAUUAAUUAGGAUUGAUUUAGAAUCUAGAAUUUGAAUAGGAUUUGAUUAGAAUUAAUUAAGAUUGAUUUAGGAUUUAAGAUUUGAAUAAGAUUUAAUUUUGAUUUAGGAUUUAAUUAGGAUUUUAUUAAAAUUUAUUAGACAUGAUCUAAGAUUUAGAAUUUCUAUUAGGAUUUGACCUAGGAUUUGGUUAAGAUUCAAUUAAGAUUUUAAUUAUGAUUUGACCUAGGAUUUAAUUAAAGUUAAUUAGGAUUUGACCUAGGAUUUAAUUAAAGUUAAUUAGGAUUUGAUAAGGAUUUAUUUAGGAUUUAUUUAGGAUUUAUUUAGAAUUUAUUUAGAAUUUUUAUUUUUAUUAUUUCUUUAGGAUUUUUUAAUAUUAUAUUUUUAGUAUUUCUUAAAUAUUAUUUUUAUUUCUUUAAAGGUACGUUUUUAUAUUUCUUGAAGAUUCUUAUUUUUUUAAAAUUAAUUUAGGACUUCUUUGUAUUUAUUUUAUAAUUUCUUUUAAAUUUAUUUUGAAUUGAAUAAAUUUUGAUUAAGAUUAUUAAGAUUUAUUUAAAUUUUAUUUAUACUUUAUAGGAUUUUUGUUGCAUUUCUACUUACUUUUUAUAAUUAGGUACUCAAUGUUUUCUCAAGCAAGAACAUACAUAAUACAACAUUGUGUGAAUUUUUCAUUUUAUUAAGAGAAUAGAACAACUUGGUAGCAUUUCUCCUACACAAAGGCAUCUACUAAUCCUUAAUAGACAUGCAAGCUAUCUUAUUAUUGAAGUAGUAAGUCUAACAUACAACACUAGAUUAGACAUUCUAAUCCUACCAUUUCAAACAUUGCACACUAUACAACCUCUAGAUAUACAUAUAUUUGGACCAUUCAAGACAUAUUUCAAAGAAUAUUGAAAUUAUUGGACUUUCAAAAACCUAAACUAACUUUCACAAAAAUAAAUUCAUGUACAUUAGAUGUUCUUUUGCUAAAAACAUGCUUUAACAAUGAACAAUAUCACCAAAAGUUUCAACUCUACUAAUAUCUUUUUAUUUAACAAAAUGAUAAUGGGUAAUCACAUAGACUCAAGUGAUACAUGCAUGUAAUCUAAAUAAAUCCUAAAUAAAUCCUAAAUAGAAGCUAGACAAGGUAAAAACAAUGCAAUUGAAAAUUUUAUAGAGAAUGAAAGCAAUAGCAUGGAGCUAAUUCAUGAAGAUUUACAUGUCUUGUUGAUUCACAAUAUUAUAGUAGUGUUAUGUGGUAAUACAACUAUAUAGAUGUUAUUAUAGAAGAGCCUAGUAGAAAGGUGUAGUAGAAAAAUAAAAAUAAAUAAUAGAAAGGUAGUAAAAGAUUUAGACUUAAUAUUGUAUUUUAUAGAAGGAACUUCUAUUUAUUUUGUAGAGGCAUAAAUGAACCAAAUCAAAGUAAAUGAGAUAAUAAAUUUUAUAUAGACAUAUUUAAGAGAGAGUUAACAAUAGAUUAAAGCAAAAUUUACCUCAAAUUAUCAAAAAUUGAUAAUUAAAAAAGACUAAUUAUUAAUCUGGAUCAAAAUCACUCUAUGAGGCACAAAACCAGGUCUAUACAACCACUCAAGGGCUCUUUUGUAGAUUGAAGAGUUGAAUUUGAAAGCAAACUUAAAGAAAAAAAAUUUAAACAUUAAUUUUAUGUUAUUUGCAUCAAUCUUAAGAUUUUGAAGGAUUUUCAAAAUUGACAAUAUUUUUAAUAGAUUAAAGUUUG
rnacentral:lncRNA from 1 species